CAGUAGCCGCGGGAAAACAGAGGGUGCGAGCGUUAAUCGGAUUUACUGGGCGUAAAGCGUGCGUAGGCGGCUUCUUAAGUCGGAUGUGAAAUCCCUGAGCUUAACUUAGGAAUUGCAUUCGAUACUGGGAAGCUAGAGUAUGGGAGAGGAUGGUAGAAUUCCAGGUGUAGCGGUGAAAUGCGUAGAGAUCUGGAGGAAUACCGAUGGCGAAGGCAGCCAUCUGGCCUAAUACUGACGCUGAGGUACGAAAGCAUGGGGAGCAAACAGGAUUAGAUACCCCAGUAGUCCCUGUCUCUUAUAC
rnacentral:rRNA from 1 species